GAAAGGAAAGGAAAGACAAUGUUGCUUUGUGCUGCCCACUGCCUCUCAUGCCCCUUAAGGUCUCUCAGGAGAUCUCCCUCAGGGCAAUACACUGUUCUGCUUUGAAACAUGGAACAGUCCUGGUUUAAGUGAAAUUUUAGAAUAUGAUAUUGUGUUUGCAGAGUGUUAGCAAUCAGAAAACAUCAAGAACUUGCAUGUAACUGAGAAACAUGCACCCAUGUAAUGGUAUUCCCUGAAAAAUGUCUGCGCUGGCUAAAGCAAACUUCUGGUUUGCAUAUCUUUCUGUUACCACAAUGUUUUCAAAACUCUCUAUUUAUAUUUUGCAUUGUUGUUUAUUGUUUCCACUAUUUAGUAACUGAAGGUCCUUACACUGAGAAGAAUGGCUCGCCUUUGAAGCUCAGAGGCACCUUUUCUUCUCCAGACAUCAGGAAUUGGCCUUUGAGAUUCCUUCAGCUACCUACGAUACCUGCAGAAAGCUGGAAUCCACCAGAAAAUCACAGAAUCUGCUGAUUUGGAAUUGAUUCACAAGGAUCUUUGAGUCCAGCUCUUAGCCCUGCACAGGACUACCCUAAGAGUCUCACCAUGUGCCUGAGAGUAUGUUCCAAACACUUCUUCAACUGUGUCAGGCUUGAACUCUAUGAUACAACUUAUGGGACACCUGUGUCCUUAGCAGGAGUUCAGCUGGGACACCCCAGGCUAUCUCUGAGUGGCACUGGAUGCUUACAGACCUGUGGGCAGCUAAUAUGACUUCUCCUUUCCACAGACUGUAAUGGCAGCUCAAACAACUAACUCAUACAGUUGCAGAAAGUUCACUCUGCAAUGCUGAGCCAGGUUUAAAUGAAAUCUCCAACCCUCUGAAGUCACUUCAAUUCACUAUAUACCAGCAAAAGAACCAGGAAAAAAAAUCAGCAGGUCUUGCUUGAACAAGGCUUUCAAGAUUUAGUCCCAAAUGCUUAGUUGUCUGGCUUUUUACAGCAGAAAGGUAUGUAAGAAAAGUCAUUCAUUUUUUCUGUCUUACCAGCUUGUACAAAUAGUUUUCUGUAAAAAGCUACAGUCACUUUUUUCAGAUUUAAUAAUGCCUGCUGAUAUGUAAAGUUAAAUGUAAUUUUAAGAAUUACACACAGAGCUAACACACAUAUUCUAUCAACAUUAUCUACCCUCCUAAAUAAUUUAAACCACACCAAGUUACCCUGGUCAUAUGUCCAUUACUUCUGAAAACAAAAUCUAGUCAUGAAAUUCCCCUUUCCAAAAUGUAACAGAGUAGACUGUGUUGCUAAAAUGUUUCAUUCUUUGGAGACUUUAUUUGCUAGUAACGCAUGCCAUUGCAUUGAGCACAAUCUACUCUGUCGUAAAAUUAAUGGCUUACUUUAUUCUUUCUUUCUGGCUGUAAAACUAAUGUCUUACUUUCUUCUGUUGGUGAAUGUUUGUUCACUGUCUCUGGAGAACAUCUUCAACCCUUGAUUAUCUUUGUUUUGAUCCAAGGAGCAACCUGGAGACUGUUUAGGCUUCCUUACAGGAGGAC